GGGUUAGUAGGUUGGUCAUGCCUCCGGUAUGUACUGAUCUCACUGAUUCCUCCUUCCUUAUGAACCGUAAUGCCAUUAAUUUGGUGUUGCGGGAAAUUUGGACUGUUACUUUGAAAAAAUUAGAGUGUUUAAAGCAGGCUCACGCUUGAAUACAUUAGCAUGGAAUAACGAAAUAGGACG
rnacentral:rRNA from 1 species